rnacentral:rRNA from 1 species
AUUGAACGCUGGCGGCAUGCCUUACACAUGCAAGUCGAACGGCAGCACGGGGGCAACCCUGGUGGCGAGUGGCGAACGGGCGAGUAAUGCAUCGGAACGUGCCCAGUAGUGGGGGAUAACCAGUCGAAAGACUGGCUAAUACCGCAUACGACCCAAGGGUGAAAGCGGCGGACCGUAAGGCCUCGCGCUCUUGGAGCGGCCGAUGUCUGAUUAGCUAGUUGGCGGGGUAAGAGCCCACCAAGGCGACGAUCAGUAGCUGGUCUGAGAGGACGACCAGCCACACUGGGACUGAGACACGGCCCAGACUCCUACGGGAGGCAGCAGUGGGGAAUUUUGGACAAUGGGCGCAAGCCUGAUCCAGCCAUGCCGCGUGCGGGAAGAAGGCCUUCGGGUUGUAAACCGCUUUUGGCAGGAACGAAACGGCGCAGGCCAAUACCUUGCGCUAAUGACGGUACCUGCAGAAUAAGCACCGGCUAACUACGUGCCAGCCGCCGCAGUAAGAC